rnacentral:lncRNA from 1 species
GUUUACAUGUCUGUGAUUUAUGUUUAUUGUGUUACAAUUGUUAUGCUUUUGUACGAAAGGAAUAUUUGAAAGUGACCUGAUCGUGGGAUGCACGGAGUAUGCACGUCAGCACUGCUUGUGUUAUGCAUGCCAUUACUCAGCGCGCCACUGGUCCGGAUCCCACUGACGGAGGUGCCUCGACGAAGGGCCCCGCCUCGACUCAUCCACUUUCACACCAGCGAGAGCUUCCAGGUGCCAGUUAGAACCACCCAACCGCCAACGACAGCUACGCCACGGUCUUUGUACCGCGUCAUUAAAUACAACAGGAUGUAUGAAGAUUUUAGAACCAGGAAUGGGAGACACACGUUAUCGAAUGGCCACGUGAGCAGACCGCGGCCGCCGGCAGCCCAGGUGCAAUGUGACUGGUGUGACAGCGCCGUGACGAGGCGUCUUCCAAAGAUAUCCAACAAAUAAAUAAAUAACUAACAAUUUCAUACGUUUA